AAUUUUGUCUUCUCCCCAAUAGGUUUUUCGAGGCUUGUUUUUUUGGUUAUUACUUUAGGCCUUGGACUGAACAAAUUUUGUGGGGCUCCAACUUCAGCGAUUCUGUUAAUUUUCGGGAACCGAAGAUUUUGGGCUUCCCUCAAUUGGAAUUGGGGGAAUUUUGACUAUUGAAGGAGUAUGAUGAAAAGGUAGUCCAAGUAGCGCAAGAUCACAGCUCACAGCAAGAGGAAUUAAAAAAAUAUGUGAAAGGGUUUUGCUCUUGUUGGAUAGUAGCGCCAGCGGUGAAGGAAAAGGAAAAAAAUUGCCAGGCGGAGUUGUCCAUGUACACGACCAGCAACAACUCAGGAACAUCAGAAAAUUAAGAUAUCAACUUGACUAGACAGUGCCGCGAUGCUCUUAAAAAGAGCUAGUUUUGUGGUCAUAUGGGAGGAAGAUCUUGCUGUUGAUUCCCCUAUCUCUUGGUACCUACCUUUAGGUCAAGGCUCUAGAAUUUGUGGGCUUUGCUCCAAAGGGAAGUAAAAGGGUUCAAGAUUUUUUGGAAAAGGCUGCAGAAGGAUUGGUUAAAGGUGGCAGGAAAGAGAUAUUUACCCCUAUAAAUUUAUUCUUAGCCCGAAAACCACCUUCAAAGAGCCAGUGAAGGAAUGGUGCACGAAAAAAUUAGCCUGCUACUUUCAUUAGUUAUGGAAAUUCUUCCUGUGAAGAACAUGCAGGUUUAUGUGUGCUUCAAUGGGUAAAUUGAAUGAGGGCAUUCCAGUGGGUUAAGAUGAGAAGCAUAUCACAUUUUUGUAGCAGAGGCAGGACUGUCAAAGAUUUUCUUUUUCCUUUUUUCUGUGGGCCAUGAAUUUUGCUUCGCCUAUCCAAUGUUUGACUCUUAUCACUUUAACUCUUAUCAUUGUUUGACUCGGGUAAACUUUAACUUCUAAUAUUUUAUGUUCAUAGUUUAAACAAUAUUUUCUUCAUUAUUAGAUAGUAAAGUUUAACUUUUAACUCUUAUCAUUUUUAUAGCUUUUCUUUCAUAUCCAAAAACUUUAUACCCAUAGUUUAAACAAACUCGCGGCAAAGCGCGAGCCUGCCACCUAAUCUAAACAUAAAAGUAAACGUACAAAUAAGAUAUGAACUAGUGACACAUCUUCAAACCAUGUUAAUCAGUGACAACUUAAGUCAACAAACUUUCUCUCAAGUAAGCUUUCGUAGAACAAACAAAAUAUUGAAGAAAAGUAUACAUGGCACUGAAUAUAAUUUAUUAGGUGUAGAGACCCGCAUCUAGCAAGGUAUUGUCUGUUUUGAUUUCAAAGUUUAACAAUUUUAUCUCAAAAAAUACUUGAAAAGUCUAGAUUUAGGUUUCUAAUUAUAUAUCAUAGCAAAUACUCAAAAUAUACCAAUAUGGGAUUGAGGUGGCACAUACUCCUCCCGUUAAAGUUUGAUGUUUUUGUCAAGUCUAACACAAAACACAGAAAGAACCAUAAAACCAGAAUCACACCAAAUAUUAAGAUUCUAAAAGAGACUCCUAUCAUGUACCACUUAGUUCUUUUGGGAUUCUAGAAGUGACUUUUGUGAAGGUCUAUACUCAACUUGUGAGAUAUUGUCCACUUUGACUCGAAGAUUUUACAAUUUUAUCCUACAAAAAAACCUCUCACAAAUUAGAGUUUAAGUCUAAACUUAUAUAUCAUAACAGAUUAUUAGAAUAUCCCAAAGUGAGAUUGAAGUGUCAUAAACUCCCCGUUAACACUUGACAUCCUCGUUAAGCCCAACACAAAGUAUAGUCAAAACCACAAAAUUGCGCACACAGAAUUAUAGAACCAAAAUCACACCAGAAAUUGGGAUUUUAGAGAUGACUAUCAUAGUGUGACACUUAGCUCUCUCGGAAUUCCAGAGGUGGCUCUCAGAUGUAGCACUUAGCUUUCAUCCGACUAACGACUCUCUAUUAUCAUUUGUGGAGACUCGCACCCAACUUGUGAAAUACUAUCCGUUUUGACUAAAAGAUCGAUUUUGUUCCAUAAAAGACAACCUCAAUUCUUGAAAAAUCUGUUUCUGAAAAAUUAUUACUGCAACCAAAUUCCCAACGAAUUUUCUACUUAAAGAAUCAACUACUUUAUUCACCUUACCAGAAUGGUAACUAAUGGUAAGUCAUAGUCCUUCACUGGCUUUAAUUAUCUCCCUUGCCUCAUAUUCAACUCCAAAAUUACAAAUUGAGUUAACUGUUAGUUGAGAUAUCCGAAAAUCUUAGAUUUUGUCUUAUAAAAGAUGUUUCGUAAGUUUGAGUUUAAAUCUCUAUUUAUACACCAUAAUAGAUACUCAGAACAUCUCACUGUGGAAUUGGGAUAUCACAUUAGGCAUUCCAAAUUGUAACCCCUGGAUAGAAAAUAUUUUCUAGCAUUAACGUUUCUAAACCUUUGUGAUCCUUUGACAAAUCAAAAUGAAAUUUUAAGACAUGCUAAGUCAAAUGAUGUUGAUGGGUUUAAGCCACUUAAAGCAAUCAAAAGAUUGUGGCUGCUUUUUUUGGGUGUUGAUUUCAUCUAAACAUUUGAUAGCUAUCAAUGGAGAAAAUCGAAAAGGUGCCCAUUUUAGUCUAUUAAACAGACAACCUUCAAAAUAUUCCAACUCCAUAGAAGUUAUCUAGCCAGCAGGCAUGUUCUAAACAAUGCAUUGAAAAAGGGAAAAUUUUGAUGAACGGUUAAUGAACCAUGAAUUAAAAUGGCCGUUAAAGAAAACGAAUUACUAAAAUUUAUGAUGGAAAAGAAAAGAGCUUUUAUAUUUAAGAUUUUUACGUUUUAUGUUUAGAUAUGAAACACCAAGAGGAAUUUAAAAAGAGUUUUGAGAGGGUAACCUAGGAAUUUCUGGGCAUAAGCCUAAGCAAGUUGAAUCUUCAUCUGGUACAUGAAUUCAUCUGUUGAAAUUUGGGAAGAUCUUGUUCCACUUGAACCUAUCGAGAAAAAAUCCUUUUUUUCUCCUCUGCCUCCAAAGCCAAAGGCUGAAAACCUAAUACAAGAAGACCGUACUAAAUCCUAAAACCUAUUAUAGACCAGCGAAAAGGAAAGAAGAGGCUAAACCCUUAACUUUGCGACUUUGGACAUUGGUCCGUCACCGCAGAGGAUUGAGUUAGGCCCAUUCAUUUGGGUCUGUCCUAGCCGAGAACAAUAUCCAUUUCAGUUGGAUUUAAGCAAAGGCUCAUAAAUUUAAGUACUUAUGGUGAAAUGUUUGUUCGAUAUUAUUUAAUAAUUCCAGUAGAAAACGGGUGAGGAAUGAAAGUCAACAACUCUCCAUCCAACAAUGGACCCAACCAAUAGGAGUUGUGAAAGUCAAUUUUGACAGCUCUUUGUGUAGAGAAGAACGCACAGGAGGUAUAGGAGUUAUAGUCAGAAACCACCAGGGGGCUCUACUUGGAGAUGUAGCAAUUCGAUUGUGAGAUGUUAGCAGCCCGUUUCAAACAGAAGCUAUAGCAGCAGUUAAUGCAAUAAAGUUUGCACAGGAUUUGGGCUUAGCAAAAAUAUGGCUAGAAGGGGACGAUAGAGGCUAUGUAGGCAAAAUUAUGACAAGCCCUGUUCGCUUUCCGAUUGGCAUGAUUAUAGAGGAGGCACGAUGCCCCAAGCCAAUUUCCAAUCUCAUAGAAUCAUGUGUCGUAACGUUUGUAG